rnacentral:lncRNA from 1 species
UUUUCCAUCUGGUUUUAUUAAUAACAUUGAAGGAUACAAGAGUCGAAUACAAAGCCGGCGGAACAUAGAAACAUCCCCGGAGACUAAACCCAAGAAGGGGAACAAGAACCCAAACAACCGGGCUGCAUACCAACAUCUGGAACUUAAACUUAAUACCUAUACUCCUUGUGAGAAACCCAAAGACAAUCUAUCAUAAAUUAAAGAACAGAGACUUAAUAGCCUAUAACCAGCCGGAAUUCUUGCAACGAACAAUACAUGUGACAAUUUGAGCAGAAACCUCAUCUGAACCUCAUAUUCACGAUGACAACAACCAACCUCUUCGACAACCUCAAGACAACAACCAGGAUGAAACAAACACCCACCAGAGCGCUUAACUCAACCGCACCAUAAGCUGGAAGCCUCCAUGUCUCCACCUCCAUGCUUCAAGCAAACAAAGCCAUGAGGAAGACAAAGACCAAAGGAAGACCAGGAGAAACACUAUUUUCAAGGCAGGAGACAGCCCCCGCUGAACCUGAGAGACAAAUAGGUGUUCUGAAAACAACCUAUUUCUCAAGGACCAUAACCACCAACUGCUGCUCACUACACACCACCACGUUACUGCUACACCGUUGCUAAAUCAAAGACCAACUAAGACCAGCUCAAAAACCAUGAUAGACAAGCAUGAUUCAACUCCUUGCCUGGAGAUACACACAGCUGAUGGAGGGACGACGGAACAGAACUGAAGAGCUCUCUCUGUUGAGACACCAAAGCUGCAACAUCAAGAGAACCAGAUCUAAGCCGACACGUCCAACACGCCUCAGACCUCCAUCCGAGUAACACCAGAAUCAUCAGAUCCAUCCAUAAACCCCGAUCUGAAACUAAACCCAAAAAGGUGACAAGUUACCGAAAUUAAAGACAGAGACCUAUUUAGAAGGGAGAGACAUGGCCGCUCCCGACGGCGGUGAGAAGCACCGACCGUCGGAGCAGAAGACUAAGAUACGGCGGCUCUUGGUUCUUUAGGUUUUGUCGAGAGCGUUUUCUUUUUAAUCCCAAGUCUUG